UACGUAGGGGGCAAGCGUUGUCCGGAAUCAUUGGGCGUAAAGAGCUCGUAGGCGGUUUGUCGCGUCGUCCGUGAAAACUUGGGGCUCAACCCCAAGCUUGCGGGCGAUACGGGCAGACUUGAGUACUGCAGGGGAGACUGGAAUUCCUGGUGUAGCGGUGAAAUGCGCAGAUAUCAGGAGGAACACCGGUGGCGAAGGCGGGUCUCUGGGCCGAUACUGACGCUGAGGAGCGAAAGCGUGGGGAGCGAACAGG
rnacentral:rRNA from 1 species